UACGUAGGGAGCAAGCGUUGUUCGGAAUCACUGGGCGUAAAGGGAGUGUAGGCGGAUUGGUAAGUUAGGAGUGAAAUGUACCGGCUUAACCGGUGAACUGCUUCUAAUACUGUCAGUCUUGAGUAUGGGAGAGGAAGAUGGAAUUCCAGGUGUAGUGGUAAAAUACGUAGAUAUCUGGAAGAACACCAGUUGCGAAGGCGGUCUUCUGGCCCAAUACUGACGCUGAGGCUCGAAAGCUAGGGGAG
rnacentral:rRNA from 1 species